rnacentral:misc_RNA from 1 species
UUUUUUUUUUUUUUUUUUUUUUUUUUUUUUUUUUUUUUUUUUUUCUUACUAAAUGCUGUUUUUUUUUUUUUUUUUUUUUUUUUUUUUUUUUUUUUUUUUUUUUUUUUUUUUUCUUAUAUAUAUAUUAUUUUUUUAUAUAGUUAUUAUUUGUUUAUCUAUGUAUAAGUUAUCUAUUUCUGUUAUUUACUUAAAUUUCAUAAUUUAAUAAAGUGUAAAG